CGUCCGUNACGGGAGGGUAAUAUACGGAGAAAUCCCGUCUAAUACCGCGUAAUGCCGCCGGGGGCUGCAUGGCCCUGCGGCCAAAGGGAGCGAUUCCGGCAACGGAUGGGCAUGCGUGACAUUAGCUAGUUGGCGGGGCAACGGCCCACCAAGGCGACGAUGUCUAGGGGUUCUGAGAGGAAGGUCCCCCACACUGGUACUGAGACACGGACCAGACUCCUACGGAAGGCAGCAG
rnacentral:rRNA from 1 species